rnacentral:rRNA from 2 species
UGGAGAGUUUGAUCCUGGCUCAGGAUGAACGCUAGCGGCAGGCCUAAUACAUGCAAGUCGAACGAGAUCAAGAGCUUCGGUUCUUGGUUUAGUGGCGCACGGGUGCGUAACGCGUAUGCAACCUACCUUCUAUUGGGGGAUAGCCUUCCGAAAGGAAGAUUAAUACCGCAUAACACCAUGACCUGGCAUCGGGAUAUGGUUAAAGCUGAGGCGAUAGAAGAUGGGCAUGCGUGCCAUUAGCUAGUUGGCGGGGUAACGGCCCACCAAGGCGACGAUGGCUAGGGGUUCUGAGAGGAUGGUCCCCCACACUGGUACUGAGACACGGACCAGACUCCUACGGGAGGCAGCAGUAGGGAAUAUUGGGCAAUGGUCGAGAGACUGACCCAGCCAUGCCGCGUGCAGGAUGAAGGCCUUCUGGGUUGUAAACUGCUUUUAUCAGGGAAGAAAACGCUCUUGCGAGAGUAACUGACGGUACCUGAUGAAUAAGCACCGGCUAACUCCGUGCCAGCAGCCGCGGUAAUACGGAGGGUGCAAGCGUUGUCCGGAUUUAUUGGGUUUAAAGGGUGCGUAGGCGGCCCGUUAAGUCAGCGGUGAAA